rnacentral:rRNA from 1 species
UACGUAGGGGGCAAGCGUUGUCCGGAUUUAUUGGGCGUAAAGCGUGCGCAGGCGGCUAUGCAAGACAGAUGUGAAAUCCCCGGGCUCAACCUGGGAACUGCAUUUGUGACUGCAUGGCUAGAGUACGGUAGAGGGGGAUGGAAUUCCGCGUGUAGCAGUGAAAUGCGUAGAUAUGCGGAGGAACACCGAUGGCGAAGGCAAUCCCCUGGACCUGUACUGACGCUCAUGCACGAAAGCGUGGGGAGCAAACAGG